GAUGAACGCUGACAGAAUGCUUAACACAUGCAAGUCUUUGGCGAAGCUGUGCUUGCACAGCCUAGCCAAGGCGGACGGGUGAGUAACGCGUAAGGAACUUGCCCUGCAGUCAGGGAUAACAGACGGAAACGACUGAUAAGACCUGGUAAAGUCAGGCGGACUCAUGUCCAGCCUGAUGAAAAGAGAUGCUGCAGGAGAGCCUUGCGUCCUAUUAGCUUGUUGGUGGGGUAACGGCCCACCAAGGCGAUGAUAGGUAGCCGGCCUGAGAGGGUGGACGGCCACAAGGGGACUGAGAUACGGCACAUACUCCUGCGGGAGGCAGCAGUGGGGAAUAUUGGACAAUGGGGGCAACCCUGAUCCAGCAAUUCUGUGUGCACGAUGAAGGUUUUCGGAUUGUAAAGUGCUUUCAGCAGGGAAGGAGAAAAUGACGGUACCUGCAGAAGAAGCGACGGCUAAAUACGUG
rnacentral:rRNA from 1 species